AUUGAACGCUGGCGGCAUGCCUAACACAUGCAAGUCGAACGGAGGUAGGGGCAACUCUACUUCAGUGGCGGACGGGUGAGGAAUGCGUCGGAAUCUACCCUAUGGUGGGGGAUAACACAGGGAAACUUGUGCUAAUACCGCAUAAUGUCGAGAGACCAAAGCAGGGGACCGCAAGGCCUUGCGCGAUAGGAUGAGCCGACGCCCGAUUAGCUAGUUGGUAGGGUAAAGGCCUACCAAGGCGACGAUCGGUAGCUGGUCUGAGAGGAUGAUCAGCCACACUGGGACUGAGACACGGCCCAGACUCCUACGGGAGGCAGCAGGUGGGGAAUAUUGGACAAUGGGCGCAAGCCUGAUCCAGCAAUGCCGCGUGUGUGAAGAAGGCCUGCGGGUUGUAAAGCACUUUUGUUCGGGAAGAAAUCAUGCUGGUUAAUACCUGGUAUGGAUGACGGUACCAAAGAAUAAGCACCGGCUAACUUCGUAGCCAGCAGCCG
rnacentral:rRNA from 1 species